UCCGAUGUGGUGUAUUGGUAACAUAUCCGCCUCUCAUUGCGCUCGUUUGACUUUGACGCGGUUGCGCGGGGGCGGGGUUCGAUUCCCCGCAUCGGUA